GGGAAGAUAUUUUUUUCUUUCGACAGCACAAGUCGGCCAUCCUUCUUCUCCACUCAAAAACCAUUCCAGCUACCAUUGUUUCAUCUCUUCUCUACAUAGCCACCAUCAUUCUCCACACCAAAAUCCCUUUCUUCGGGGUGUCAUCAUCUCUCUUUCUGCUAUCGUCAGACAUUUUUCAGCUGCUGUCCAGGACUCUCUUCAGCCCCAGGAUGUCAGUGAGCAAGAGUUCCAUGGAAGACUAGACUUUUUCAACUCAGAAAGAUGAUGAAACCAGUAACAUAGAUUUAUUUUCUUUCUCUUGUAUUCAUUUCCUAUGUAAUGAAAUAAAGAAUUAUUUUGUGCUUCAUAUUUCUUUGAUAUUCUUUCUUCUUCCUUUAGAGGUUUGAAUUUAGCGUGCACAGCCUAUACAUUUCACAGACAUACCAUAAUCUAUAGAUACGGUGCGUGCUUAGGAGAGAU
rnacentral:lncRNA from 1 species